rnacentral:rRNA from 1 species
GACGAACCGAGCGAACGUUGUUCGGAAUCACUGGGCUUAAAGGGCGCGUAGGCGGCUUUGCAAGUGACGGGUGAAAGCCCUCGGCUUAACCGAGGAACUGCCUGUCAGACUGUAAGGCUUGAGACCGGGAGAGGUGAGUGGAAUUCCCAGUGUAGCGGUGAAAUGCGUAGAUAUUGGGAGGAACACCAGUGGCGAAGGCGGCUCACUGGACCGGAACUGACGCUGAGGCGCGAAAGCGUGGGGAGCAAACAGG